UACGGAAGGCAGCAGUGGGGAAUAUUGCACAAUGGGCGCAAGCCUGAUGCAGCCAUGCCGCGUGUAUGAAGAAGGCCUUCGGGUUGUAAAGUACUUUCAGUCGUGAGGAAGGUGUUAAGGUUAAUAACCUUAGCAAUUGACGUUAGCGACAGAAGAAGCACCGGCUAACUCCGUGCCAGCAGCCGCGGUAAUACGGAGGGUGCGAGCGUUAAUCGGAAUUACUGGGCGUAAAGGGCACGCAGGCGGUUAAUUAAGUUGGAUGUGAAAUCCCCGGGCUUAACCUGGGAAUGGCAUUCAAGACUGGUUAGCUAGAGUCUUGUAGAGGGGGUAGAAUUCCAUGUGUAGCGGUGAAAUGCGUAGAGAUGUGGAGGAAUACCGGUGCGAAGGCGGCCCCUGGACAAAGACUGACGCUCAUGUGCGAAAGCGUGGGGAGCAAACAGGGAUUAGAUACC
rnacentral:rRNA from 1 species